rnacentral:rRNA from 1 species
CCUACGGAGGCAGCAGUGGGGAAUAUUGCACAAUGGGCGGAAGCCUGAUGCAGCGACGCCGCGUGAGGGAUGAAGGCCUUCGGGUUGUAAACCUCUUUCAGCAGGGACGAAGCGUGAGUGACGGUACCUGCAGAAGAAGCACUGGCUAACUACGUGCCAGCAGCCGCGGUAAUACGUAGGGUGCGAGCGUUGUCCGGAAUUACUGGGCGUAAAGAGUUCGUAGGCGGUUUGUCGCGUCGUUUGUGAAAACCCGGGGCUCAACUUCGGGCUUGCAGGCGAUACGGGCAGACUUGAGUGUUUCAGGGGAGACUGGAAUUCCUGGUGUAGCGGUGAAAUGCGCAGAUAUCAGGAGGAACACCGGUGGCGAAGGCGGGUCUCUGGGAAACAACUGACGCUGAGGAACGAAAGCGUGGGUAGCAAACAGGAUUAGAUACCCUGGUAGUCCACGCCGUAAACGGUGGGCGCUAGGUGUGGGUUCCUUCCACGGGAUCUGUGCCGUAGCUAACGCAUUAAGCGCCCCGCCUGGGGAGUCGGCCGCAAGGCUAAAACUUAAUGAAUUGACGGCNGNGACGUGCGACGCGACGACGAGGAGAG